GACGAACGCUGGCGGCGUGCCUAACACAUGCAAGUCGAACGAGUCCAGGCUUUCGGGCCUGAGGCGAGUGGCGGACGGGUGAGUAACACGUGAGCAAUCUGUCCCUGUGUGGGGGACAACCCGGGGAAACUCGGGCUAAUACCGCAUGGGCAGGCACUUCACAGGAAGAGCCUGGGAAAGAGGCCCUCUUUACAAUGGUCUCAUGCAGGGAGGAGCUCGCGGGCAUCAGCUAGUUGGUAGUGGUAAUGGCCUACCAAGGCGACGACGGCUACGGGGUCUGAGAGGACGACCCCGCACAUUGGAACUGAGACACGGUCCAGACUCCUACGGGAGGCAGCAGUGGGAAUUUUGGGCAAUGGCCGCAAGGCUGACCCAGCGACGCCGCGUGCGGGAUGACGCCUUUC
rnacentral:rRNA from 1 species